GGGGAUGUAAAGGUCUCGACGGGCAUAUAGAAGCGCCACUAGCGAGCCGAAGUUGCCGAGUCUUCGUUAAAAGCGGCACGUUUAAAUACAAACGCAAAAACAAACAACAAUUACGCACUAGCAGCAUAGACUGCACCGCGUCGUCCGCCCGAAUUCACCUGUAGGUUCGGAUGUGGGCGCCAAUAUACAGGAAAACUCUGUGUGAGUUCUCGGUCGCACAGGGGAACGACGAGAUAGCCGAUCCUGCCCCGCGCCUAUGAUGUGCAGGUGAGGCGAAUAAACCCAUCGUAGGCUGCGCUCGGAGAAGGCAGCGAUGGAAAUGUGUUCGGACGUGGGUUCAAUUCCCACCAUCUCCACCA
rnacentral:tmRNA from 1 species